ACUCAAAGGAAUUGACGGGGGCCCGCACAAGCAGUGGAUUAUGUGGUUUAAUUCGAAGCAACGCGAAGAACCUUACCAGGUCUUGACAUCGUACGCAUAGUAUGGAAACAUAUGAAACCCUACGGGGCGUAUAGACAGGUGGUGCAUGGUUGUCGUCAGCUCGUGUCGUGAGAUGUUGGGUUAAGUCCCGCAACGAGCGCAACCCCUAUUAUUAGUUGCUACGCAAGAGCACUCUAAUGAGACUGCCGUUGACAAAACGGAGGAAGGUGGGGAUGACGUCAAAUCAUCAUGCCCUUUAUGACCUGGGCUACACACGUAAUACAAUGGCACUUUAACAGAGGGCGGCAACACCGCGAGGUGAAGCGAAACCCGAAAAAGUGUCUCAGUUCGGAUUGCAGGCUGCAACUCGCCUGCAUGAAGUCGGAAUUGCUAGUAAUCGCGGAUCAUCAUGCCGCGGUGAAUACGUUCCCGGGCCUUGUACACACCGCCCGU
rnacentral:rRNA from 1 species